UCACCAGGGGCAGGUUGCUGGAGGGACGUGCCCUUUCCCUAUGGAUUUCCAUCAGUUCCUGGUGGCCAUCCUGGUUCCUGUGGGCUGGGCCAUACAGCAAUCACCAGAUACAGUUGUCCGGGUGGGAGAUCCCGUGACCCUGGAAUGUUCUCAAUCUGGGAAUGCAUUUCGGUCCAUGUAYUGGUACAAAUUACCCAUGGAGRAGGRUGCYRGUAUGCAGUUGAUUAUAUAUGCAGCUGAAGGCAGCAAAGGAGAUAUUGAGAAGGAAUUCAAAAACCGCUUCCAGAGCAAUGGGACUAAGAAYAACCAUUUAUCUGUGAAGAUAGRUCAUGCCCUCCUCAAUGACUCUGGCACAUAUUUCUGUGCUGGACAAGAUCCACAUGUGAACAAUGAGAAAAUGUUCUUUGGCAGUGGGACAAAACUUACGGUCAUAGGGAAGGAUGACGAGAUCAUCCCUCCAGCUGUGGCCAUCUUCUCCCCAUCCAAGCAGGAGCUCCAGGAGAAGAGCAAGGCCACACUGGUGUGCCUGGCCUCUGGUUUCUACCCUGACCACCUGACCCUGGGCUGGAUGGUGAACGGUGUGAAAAGGAGCGAGGGGGUGGGGACAGACGAGUCCUCCACACGCAAUGGCAGCACCUACUCCCUGACCAGCCGACUGCGGAUCCCAGCCUGGGAAUGGUUCAACCCUCUCAAUCACUUCGAGUGUGUCGCCAAUUUUUUCCAGAAUGGAACAACGCAAUCAAUGCACAAAUUUAUUUCUGGUGAUGCUGGUUGUGCACUCACAGAAGAGUCGUACUUGCACUAUGGAAACUCUYUGAAGCUCACUUACCUCAUCCUCUGUGGCAAAGCCUUGGUCUAUGCAGUGUUGGUGAGCGGGCUGGUGUGGACAGCCAAGACUGGUGGCAAGUUAUCUAGAGAAUAAAUGAAGAGGCCUCUUCAUCACAUCAGCAGGAAAACAACAAGUUUUCUACCUUUCCUUUUCAAAGUAUCUAUUAACUUCUAURAACUUCUGAAUAUUAUUUUGAUGGUUUUGUGUCCUUAUCAUGUUCGUCACUUUGUUGUAAUCACAGCUGAGCUUUCCCUGUACUUCCAUAUCAUAUUGUAUCAUAUUUUGUUGUAACGUAUUUUUAAAAAAGCAUCUUUCUAAUGCUCGAAGGCUGGGAAAAAAAUCUUGUUUUAAGAAUAAAGUUUUAGCUUCU